GAGUUUGAUCAUGGCUCAGAUUGAACGCUGGCGGCAGGCCUAACACAUGCAAGUCGAGCGGUAGAGAGAAGCUUGCUUCUCUUGAGAGCGGCGGACGGGUGAGUAAUGCCUAGGAAUCUGCCUGGUAGUGGGGGAUAACGCUCGGAAACGGACGCUAAUACCGCAUACGUCCUACGGGAGAAAGCAGGGACCUUCGGGCCGUUGCGCUAUCAGAUGAGCCUAGGUCGGAUUAGCUAGUUGGUGGGGUAAUGGCUCACCAAGGCGACGAUCCGUAACUGGUCUGAGAGGAUGAUCAGUCACACUGGAACUGAGACACGGUCC
rnacentral:rRNA from 1 species